AACGAACGCUGGCGGCAGGCUUAACACAUGCAAGUCGAACGCCCCGCAAGGGGAGUGGCAGACGGGUGAGUAACGCGUGGGAACAUACCCUUUCCUGCGGAAUAGCUCUGGGAAACUGGAAUUAAUACCGCAUACGCCCUACGGGGGAAGGAUUUAUCGGGGAAGGAUUGGCCCGCGUUGGAUUAGCUAGUUGGUGGGGUAAAGGCCUACCAAGGCGACGAUCCAUAGCUGGUCUGAGAGGAUGAUCAGCCACAUUGGGACUGAGACACGGCCCAAACUCCUACGGGAGGCAGCAGUGGGGAAUAUUGGACAAUGGGCGCAAGCCUGAUCCAGCCAUGCCGCGUGAGUGAUGAAGGCCUUAGGGUUGUAAAGCUCUUUCACCGAUGAAGAUAAUGACGGUAGUCGGAGAAGAAGCCCCGGCUAACUUCGUGCCAGCAGCCGCCGUAAGAC
rnacentral:rRNA from 1 species